GCCGCGUGUGGAGGGGGAGAAUUCCUACGGGUGGGUUUCCGAAUAUUGUGUUCAACUUUUUGAAAGCAGCUCGUGACCCCGAAACUGCAUCCCCCGGAGCCGGGGACCCAGGCGCCAGGCGGGCGGGUGAACCCGGCCAGUCCCUCCCAAUCCCCGCAACCCCCCGCCUCCGAGUGGGGGGGAUCCAGGCCUGGAGGGAGGCUGGGCAGGUGCCGAGGGCUGUGCCGACAGCGCUGAAAUCGAAAACCCUCGCCACUCAUGAAGAACUGAGGCAAAAGGAUCACAGAUGCUGCUCGGGGCCAGCCCUAUACUCCCUCCAGUGCCUGGUCUCCGGUGGACCCGCGGGGCUCUGCAGUUCUCUGGCGGCCGCGCCUUGUAAGCGCUAAGCCGGGAGGAGGGCGCAGGCAGGGCGCACAGCUCUGAGCGCGACCCUACCCGGCUCGGGCCCGCAGCAACCCCGACUGUCCGAGAGCCUCUCCCCAAGCAAGGCUCUGCGCCGCCCUCUGAGCCCACCUCCUGGCCACAACGCUGCCUGCGCUUCUCCAGCCCAGGCCGGAAGCCCUAUGCUGCCUCCCGAAGCCGUGAUCAGAGGAGAAUCGCCAGGCUGAGGGGGAAGCAAGGAACAUAUGGACCCAAGUAGGAUCCUGAAAGAAUUUCGAGAAGCUCCGAGCCCAAAUCAUACAGGCCCUAAGUAUUGGUCAAUCACCAGGAGUGAAACAGAAACUUAGACCACACACUCAAGUCCUGUUUCUGAAUGAGGGGCUCAAGUGCUAGGCCACAAGUGGCCGCUAUGGAUGCUGCAUUGUGGAGUCCCACCUGAUCCCUCCUUCAACCACGCACCUCAGACUGCAAGGAGAGCUAGAUGAGAAGGAGCUGGGGCUCUUGCGAUCUGCAGAGGCAGCACGCUGGUCAGGAAGAACCCAGAACACCUGCCUCAGACACAGCCAGUCUGUCCACACACAAAAGGCAGGGCUGAGGGGCUAUUAAGUCAAACCUGGAGUCACAGCCCCAAUGUCCUCAGACAGUCCCCAACCCUCUGCAGCAAUGUGGACAUGUGUCAGUGUGGCUGAAAAGCUUCUUCUCUGAGCUUUAACAACUUUCUGGUGUAACUUCUGAGAGGGCUGAUUGCUUAUUCAUGUGGAAGCAAGACGCCCAGUCCGUUUUGCCUGUUUUUGCUACUCUUUGUUGUCUCGGGGGGAGUGUUAUGGUAGCUGCAAAUGGCUUCUCCCGUGACAUUUGCUGACAUUCAGUGAAGUACAUUUAUCAGCGCUCGCGAGCUCACCUCCGCACAUGCAAUCCAUUUUGUUUUGUUCUUCAUGGUAACCCCCUUCCCAACACCCGUGCCCUGAAAAUGAUGAAGGGCAGGCGGCGCAUUUCUCAAGCUGCACUCAAAUGUCACUGUGAAAAAUCUUUAAUGGACUAAGUGUAGCUUUUCACGUUACAACUUGUCAGGUACUGAGAAAUUCUAGAGUUUCUCCUUAAUCCACGAGUCAUUGGAACCACACAUCUGCAGGUAGAGACUAAUUAUAAGCUGUACCAGUCAGAACUGGGCAAGCAGAGACCAAGGAGAAAACAUUAGGUCUCAGUUAAUUCUUUAUUACUAUCAUUAUUAUUAUCAUUAUCAUUAUCAUUAUUAUUCUCAUUCCACUUUUUUGCUACUUCGUCUCCUACUCAGAGAAUAUGCCAGGUAUGAGCAAUCUGUUACUCUAAUUAAUUGAGUGACAGCCCCCAACUAGCUCUCCAUGCAGGCUUACCGUCUCUACGCACUCAGCUUUCUCAGUAACAUUUUUCAUCUUUCCCUCCAACGUAUCUGACUCUGAAUCAUAAUCCUGGUCCCUUAGGGUUGGCCAUGACGGAGCCGUUGAGAGGAACUGAGAUGUGUCCCAUCUCCUGUCCACCUAGUUAUCCCUCAUCGGAGGGCAUGGCAUUGGAGCCCAGAGAUUCACAUCACCAACGUGUAAGCCUGCAUUUUCCUCCCUUGCCCCGCACCUGGUCGGAGCAGUGCCACCCACACUCACAGUGGUGGCCUACAGACUCCCUCUAAGCCUUGCAUAGGGUUUGCUCGGUCUGGUUUUACCCCUUUGAAUGGACUCAGCUCAGUGGUUGUUCUUCAUGGGUGAAUCAGCCCACACUCUAAUGGCCAUGGCUUCUAUGUUCUGCCCCUGCUUCUCGGUUCACAGGCAGGAACCUCAUCACCCAUGUGUUACUGUUACGAUGGGUUCUCUGGAAUGCUGCUAGCUCAUUCAGGUGAAACCAUCAUCACCACCAUCAUCAUCAUCAUCACGAUCAUCAUAUUCUAUUUAUAUGAGCACACUGUAGCUGUCUUCAGACACACCAGAAGAGGGCAUUGGAUCCCAUUACGGGUAGUUGUGAGCACCAUUGCUCACAAUUGCUGGGAACUGAACUCAGGACCUCUGCAAGAGCAGUCAGUGCUCUUAACGGCUGAGCCAUCUCUCCAGCCCUGCAGGUGGAAUUUUAGGAGCAAGCUUCAGAGAGAUAUCUUGUUCCCUUCCACAAUGUAAACUAGAAAGUAGGAUCUCACAAACAUGGACUCUGCCAGGCUCGUGACCUUCAAACUCUAGAACUGUUCAGAAUAAAAUUCUGUUCCUUAUAAGGUA
rnacentral:lncRNA from 1 species